UCUGACUNGAGUGCAGAAGGGGAGAGUGGAAUUCCAUGUGUAGCGGUGAAAUGCGUAGAUAUAUGGAGGAACACCAGUGGCGAAAGCGGCUCUCUGGUCUGUCACUGACGCUGAGGCUCGAAAGCGUGGGUAGCGAACAGGAUUAGAUACCCUGGUAGUCCACGCCGUAAACGAUGAGUGCUAGGUGUUAGGCCCUUUCCGGGGCUUAGUGCCGGAGCUAACGCAAUAAGCACUCCGCCUGGGGAGUACGACCGCAAGGUUGAAACUCAAAGGAAUUGACGGGGGCCCGCACAAGCGGUGGAGCAUGUGGUUUAAUUCGAAGCAACGCGAAGAACCUUACCAGGUCUUGACAUCCCGAUGCUAUUCUUAGAGAUAGGAAGUUACUUCGGUACAUCGGAGACAGGUGGUGCAUGGUUGUCGUCAGCUCGUGUCGUGAGAUGUUGGGUUAAGUCCCGCAACGAGCGCAACCCUUAUUGUUAGUUGCCAUCAUUAAGUUGGGCACUCUAGCGAGACUGCCGGUAAUAAACCGGAGGAAGGUGGGGAUGACGUCAAAUCAUCAUGCCCCUUAUGACCUGGGCUACACACGUGCUACAAUGGUCGGUACAACGAGUUGCGAGCCGGUGACGGCAAGCUAAUCUCUGAAAGCCGAUCUCAGUUCGGAUUGGAGGCUGCAACUCGCCUCCAUGAAGUCGGAAUCGCUAGUAAUCGCGGAUCAGCACGCCGCGGUGAAUACGUUCCCGGGCCUUGUACAC
rnacentral:rRNA from 1 species